AGUGAACGUUGGCGGCGUGGAUUAGGCAUGCAAGUCGAGCGAGAACCGUAGCAAUACGGGGACAGCGGCGAAAGGGACAGUAAUAUGUAGGUACCUACCCUCGGGUCCGGGAUAGCUGCGGGAAACUGCAGGUAAUACCGGAUGACAUCUCCGGAUCAAAGGUGUGAUUCCGCCCGGGGAGGGGCCUGCAUCCUAUUAGCUAGUUGGUGGGGUAACGGCUCACCAAGGCGACGAUGGGUAGCGGGUGUGAGAGCAUGACCCGCGUCAUUGGGACUGAGACACUGCCCAGACACCUACGGGUGGCUGCAGUCGAGAAUCAUCGGCAAUGGGGGAAACCCUGACCGAGCGACGACGCGUGCGGGAUGAAGGCCCUCGGGUUGUAAACCGCUGUCGUAGAGGAGGAAAUGCAGGGGGGUUCUCCCCUCUGUUUGACCUAGUCUAGGAGGAAGGACGGGCUAAGUUCGUGCCAGCCGCCGCAGUAA
rnacentral:rRNA from 1 species